rnacentral:rRNA from 1 species
UCUAGACGAACUGCCGUUGACAAAACGGAGGAAGGUGGGGAUGACGUCAAAUCAUCAUGCCCCUUAUGUUCUGGGCUACACACGUGCUACAAUGGCCGGUACAGACGGACGCAAAGCCGCGAGGUGGAGCAAAUCCUAAAAAGCCGGUCUCAGUUCGGAUUGCAGGCUGCAAUUCGCCUGCAUGAAGUCGGAAUCGCUAGUAAUCGCAGGUCAGCAUACUGCGGUGAAUACGUUCCCGGGGUUU